CUUGCUAUCCAGAGAGCGGCGUACGGGUGCGUAACACGUGUGCAACCUGCCUUUAUCUGGGGGAUAGCCUUUCGAAAGGAAGAUUAAUACCCCAUAAUAUGGUGUCCGGCAUCGGUCGCCAUUGAAAGCCUCGGCGGAUAGAGAUGGGCACGCGCAAGAUUAGAUAGUUGGCGGGGUAACGGCCCACCAAGUCGAUGAUCUUUAGGGGUCCUGAGAGGGAGAUCCCCCACACUGGUACUGAGACACGGACCAGACUCCUACGGGAGGCAGCAGUGAGGAAUAUUGGACAAUGGGUGGAAGCCUGAUCCAGCCAUCCCGCGUGAAGGAUGACGGUCCUAUGGAUUGUAAACUUCUUUUGUACAGGGAUAAACCUGCCCUCGUGAGGGCAGCUGAAGGUACUGUACGAAUAAGCACCGGCUAACUCCGUGCCAGCAGCCGCGGUAAUACGGAGGGUGCGAGCGUUAUCCGGAUUUAUUGGGUUUAAAGGGUCCGUAGGCGGGCCUGUAAGUCAGUGGUGAAAUCUCAUAGCUUAACUAUGAAACUGCCAUUGAUACUGCAGGCCUUGAGUAAAUUUGAAGUGGCUGGAAUAAGUGGUGUAGCGGUGAAAUGCAUAGAUAUUACUUAGAACACCGAUUGCGAAGGCAGGUCACUAAGAUUUAACUGACGCUGAUGGACGAAAGCGUGGGGAGCGAACAGGAUUAGAUACCCUGGUAGUCCACGCCGUAAACGAUGCUAACUCGUUUUUGGAUCUUCGGGUUCAGAGACCAAGCGAAAGUGAUAAGUUAGCCACCUGGGGAGUACGUCCGCAAGGAUGAAACUCAAAGGAAUUGACGGGGGCCCGCACAAGCGGUGGAUUAUGUGGUUUAAUUCGAUGAUACGCGAGGAACCUUACCAAGACUUAAAUGGGAAUUGACAGAUUUAGAAAUAGAUCCUCCUUCGGGCAAUUUUCAAGGUGCUGCAUGGUUGUCGUCAGCUCGUGCCGUGAGGUGUUAGGUUAAGUCCUGCAACGAGCGCAACCCCUGCCAACAGUUGCCAUCAUUCAGUUGGGGACUCUGUUGGGACUGCCUACGCAAGUAGAGAGGAGGGUGGGGAUGACGUCAAAUCAUCACGGCCCUUACGUCUUGGGCCACACACGUAAUACAAUGGCCGGUACAGAGGGCAGCUACCUGGUGACAGGAUGCGAAUCUCGAAAGCCGGUCUCAGUUCGGAUUGGAGUCUGCAACUCGACUCUAUGAAGCUGGAAUCGCUAGUAAUCGCGCAUCAGCCAUGGCGCGGUGAAUACGUUCCCGGGCC
rnacentral:rRNA from 1 species